rnacentral:lncRNA from 1 species
CGGGAGCGCAGUGCGUGCGCGAGCGCGUGCGCGUUGGGAGUGGCGGCCCUGAACGGGUCUCGGAUUGGCUGGGCGCCGCGGGUGGGUGGGGCUCUGCGUCGGGGCUCCCGCAUUCGGAUCGUGCGGGACGUGAGAGCAGCCCAGCCGGGUUCGCUUCAGGUCUCUUGGAGUUGGCCUAGGCCCUCAGGGCGGGCAGCACUCACACCCUAACCCUAGUGCCCUUGAGCCUAGCACUGCACCAUGAGUCAGUCCCAGUGUCACACACCCUAGACGCAGCCACCUCUGGAAGGGCCCCACCUGUGGCCACACGAGGCUUUGGGGCACAACUGGACACAGCCACAACAGAGAAAACCAGAAAAGAGACUGUCUGCCUGGCUCAAGCAUAUCAACGAUUAAGUACAAGCCACCAACAUCCUUCUGCUUUUUGAUGCUUAGAAGAGUUUUUUAAGGAUUGGAAUGAAUAUAUCCAGUGUUUCCCACCAGAAGCACACACAGCUGAGCAAACGUGCUGAACACCAGCAUGAGCUCUAGGAGUACUGUUACACACUUGACACACACCCUUCACUCUUUGAGGUUUUUGAGACUUGCUCUGCGGCCUGACUGGCGGCAUGCCCUGGAGGGCGCCCGGGGCACUUGUGGAGGACUUGCACUCUGCCUGGGGGCCUGUUCCACUCACUGGACCUUCCCUUGUCCGCUUUUCACCUGCUGAAGCACUUUGUCCUUUGAGACCCACGUCCGGACGGCGUCUUCUAUCAGGUCUUGCCCACGCUGUCCCCCCAGCCCAAUCGUAGUUUCCGUGUGUGAGCCUCAGUCACCGCCAGCACUCAGCUACCGCAGCGUCUAGUACGACUCUGACAUGUUGGGUUUCUUUGUGCAGGAACCUUGCUAGAAGUCCAUCUCCAGGUCCUGGAAGCCUUUAAAGCCUGGUGCUGCAAGGAUAGAAGAAUCCAGUGGUCCCCAAGCCCCUGCUAGACAUUGAGCUGUAGGCUGCACACUGGGCACCUGGAGUGCCCGUGCCUCUGGGGACCAGUGGUGUGGGCCGGCAGGAGACUCAGACUGUGAGGUUGGACUGACCCUCAGGACUCCUGAUUUCCAGCCAGCAGUCGGCAUGGAAAGCUCUGUAGGUGGUCGCCAUCCCUGGACUCUGGCCCCAUAGGGAGAGGCCCCAACCCUCCCGGUAAGGACUUAAGGAUGGUCAGGCAGUGAGGGAAAGGGGAAUUGCCUCUCGGCGGCCACACACCCUGCAAU